GGGGAGCCUCGUGGGCUUCGGUCUAUGGGGUCGCACAGAGUCGAACACGACUGAAGCGACUUAGCAGCAGUAGCAGCUUCAUACUGAGGUGCCACCUAGAAACUGGACAGAUGAGGCCGUUUGGUUUCUGGUGACCAGGACUACACCCCUAGGACAGCCUACUUGCUCCAGAACCUGCAGACGGGAUCCUGGGGAAAUUGGCAGAAGCCUGCAAAGGAGGAGAAUUCUUACCCAAGUCAACUUGCCUAAAUCUCUAUCUGUCAUGCCAGGUGAAGAGAGAAGAAGGUGCCUCCCCAACCUGACUCCAUCUG
ensembl:lncRNA